rnacentral:rRNA from 1 species
AUAGUGAUAUGGAGCAAAACCCUAAAAGCGGUCUCAGUUCGGAUUGAAGGCUGAAAUUCGCCUUCAUGAAGCUGGAAUUGCUAGUAAUGGCAGGUCAGCAUACUGCCGUGAAUACGUUCCCGGGCCUUGUACACACCGCCCGUCACACCAUGAGAGUUGGAAAUACCCGAAGCCUGUGAGCUAACUGUAAAGAGGCAGCAGUCGAAGGUAGAGCCAAUGAUUGGGGUGAAGUCGUAACAAGGUAAC